rnacentral:rRNA from 1 species
GACGAACGCUGGCGGCGUGCCUAAUACAUGCAAGUAGAACGCUGAAGGAGGAGCUUGCUUCUCUGGAUGAGUUGCGAACGGGUGAGUAACGCGUAGGUAACCUGCCUGGUAGCGGGGGAUAACUAUUGGAAACGAUAGCUAAUACCGCAUAAUAUUGACUAUUGCAUGAGAGUCAGUUGAAAGGUGCAACUGCACCACGACCAGAUGGACCUGCGUUGUAUUAGCUAAGUGGGGGGGUAACGGCUCACCAAGGCGACGAUACAUAGCCGACCUGGGAGGGGUGUCGCGCACCCUGGGACCGGGACCCGGCCCCGGCUCCUUACGGAGGCAGCCGUAGGGAAUCUUCGGACAUGGACGGAAGUCUGAACGCGCAACGCCGCGUGAGUGGAGAAGGUUUUCGGAUCGUAAAGGUCUGUUGUGAGGGAAGAACGAGUGUGAGAGUGGAAAGCUCACACUGUGACGGUACCUUACCAGAAAGGGACGGCUAACUACGUG